rnacentral:lncRNA from 1 species
UUUUUUUGGGAUACAUAUCUUGCCGACUUUAAACGACCAUUUAAACGCCCGUCAUGGACUGACAAAUUGAUCUAGAAAUAAUUCUUCUCCGACUUCAUAUUGGGAUUGCCAGGGCAAGGGGAGUCCCAUUCUUUUCCAGUAGGUGGGGACAUCUUCCCUUGUUGAGUUUUUUCCCUUUCUUGUUCCCCCGCCCCAUCUUGGCCUCCUUCUUCUCGAAUCGCCGGUGCCCGGAGCUCUCUCUCUCCAAAUCCUUCUCCGCAUCCGAUGGCGCUCGUCCGCCACUCCUAUCGCCGGAAAGGCUUCCUGGUCCCCAAGAACUCCGAUCUUCGGACUCGACCUGGAGUUGCCUUCCUAUCGUUGCUCCGGCGGCCCAACAGCAGAUCCAAUCACGAAUGGGGCCUGAUCCUUCUAUCAGUCUAAUUCUUGCAUUGGAGAAAGGCUUUAAGCUGCCGAUUAGAACGCCGAAAAUCUUGGUGGAAACCCUAAUAUUUGCGGUCGUCGACCACAUGUCGGUAAGGCGAUUCUUGUCUUUCAUUUUGUUAUAAAUCACAUUAUUUAUGAUGAAAGAUCCCUUCUUAUUUCGAUAUUUGUUUGGUAGAUGCCGCUGAAUAGAAUUCGCUUCUUUCUUGAUGCUUCUUUCUCCGAUAAGCUGGUCCUUUUCCUUUCUCUUCUCUAUGAUCGCAUUAUUUAUGAUGGAAGAUCCCUCCGUAAUUCGAAAUUUGUUGAGUAUACGUCAGUGAAUAGAAAUCGCUGCCUUCUUGCUGCUUCUUUGUCCGGCAAACCGAUCCUUUUCAUUUCUUUUCUCUAUAAAUCGCGUUAUUUAUGAUGAAAGAUCCCUUCAUGAUCCACGAAAUUUGUUGAGUAGAUAUUGGUUAAUGGAAUUCAUUGCCUACUUUGUGCUUUGUUCUCCUUUGUUUCCUUAAUUUCUUCUCCAUGGUUUCAUCGUGGGGACACAUGCAAGGUUUCAUAAAGUUCCUAACUCGCUAGAAUUGAUGAUUUCAUAUGUAUAGGUGUUCCAAAGGAAAUGCAUGGUUUUUCUAAGAAAAUUUGGUGAAUUCCUUUUUUCAGAUGGAUUUGAUUUUGCAUGUCGCCUAAACUAAAAAAGCUAUUGCUAUGUAUGCACAUAUAUGUUAAGGUGGAAAAUUAGAAAGAGUUAGAAAUAUGAUGGAAGGGAACUUUAUUGUGGUGAUUAAAUAAGAAACUAAAUGAAGAACAGUUUGAUAUGGUCAGUAAGGGUACGUCUCAAGGAAAAGUGGGUGCAAAAUUUGAAAUUUUUAUGCUAAGAGACGCUAUAAUUAGGAAAAAUGUCAUCAUCUAACAUGACACAUGUUAGGGAUCCAAACACGUGCACCCAUCUCUGAGAGUCUAUCUAAUAUACCUUUGUUCUUUUUACAAUUUACUGUUUAGGUGGACCCUGUGAUUAACAUAUAGGUGCACUUUUCGUCUUAACCUAUUUACUUGAAUUCAUUUAUUUGUCAUCAUUGAAGAAGGCCAUCGGAUUAUCUACUGUUCUUUUAGAAACACCGGUACUUAUAAUAGGGCUCCAUAGAUUCCUGGGAUAAAAAGUUUUUUUGAUGUCAGUUAUAGAUUGAGAUGAAAGCUUAGUGAUAUUCAAGGUUGGAACUAGUGCAUCAGAGAAGAAAAAAGGGAGGAAAAUAUGCAUAUUAGUGAAGUUAUACAUGCAGAGGCUUUGAUCUCCUGAGAUUAGCCUGAAUUACAGAUGCAUCUACCAGGAAGAAAGGAGGAAAAAGAAUGGAACAGUUGGACAUGAAAGAAUAAGGUGCAAGAUUCACAGAUAGGAAGAGCAUCCAAAGGAGGUGUUUUAGGCAUGAGAAAGUCUGGAUAAGAUAUCGUGAUGGCGUUGAUGAAAUCCAACUGCAUCUUUUUUCCAACCAAGGCCGUGGAAGACGCUGCUUAGAAGUGCUAGUUUCUAGGCAAUGCUGGUCUCAGUUUGAAUGGGAAUUGAUGUGGGAAAUUCUUGAGGUGCACACAGAUAGAUAGUUGGAUAGAUAGAUGCACACGUCCAAAAAAAAGGAAUUCUGUUGUCCUGAAAAGUGGUAUGUGGAGGAUUAUGAGUUGGGCUAAUGGAGGAUACAACAAGAAUUGGCACUAUAGCUGAAUAGCAAUACUCUAGAGAUCUCCACCUAUCAUGUUCGGAUCUUGUAGUGGACUAAUGAAUGAAGCAUAGUACAAGGAAGGGAAUACAGGGAUUUUUAUGUGACAAUAUAGGAUUAAAAGGUUUAAUAAUUAAACGGACUUAACAAGGGGUCUAAGGGGAAUGUUCUUGAAGGGUUUAAGUUCUGUUAACACUAUUUGAACAUUUCAGAUAUUUUGUAGCAGGCCAGGUCAACCAUUAACAAUUUAAAGAAGAAUAAAAACAUAAAAAAACAAAACAAGAAAGAGAAGGAGAAAAGGAAAAAAAGGAGAUGGACAAAGAAAUAUCAGCAAACAAACUUACUUCCCUUCUCAAAAGAAACUCAGAAAACAACUCAGCCUCCCAUUUCCAGCCAGCCUUCUCACGUACACAAAAUGGCUUGUGAUGAUAAUUUUGUGCAUUACAACUCUGCAAACAUGGAUAGGAGGUAAUAUUUACAGAGAGAGAUCUGUUGCUGUGAAACAGUAAUAUCAUUGUAAUCAUCAACAAGGACCAAAACACAUACAAAGAGAGAGUGAGCAAGAGAGAAAGAGACUCGACUAGCUCCUUUUCCCCAUAUUAGCUAAGAUAUAUGUAAUUUGGUUAAAAUCAUUGAAUGAUAAGGGGCAAAAUAAAAGCACAUGUUGUCAUUCACCCGUUAAUCUUCAUUAAUUUGUUAUUUACAUCUAAGAGCGGUACUUCUUUAAAAUCCUUGCCACAAUUCUCUUAAAUAAAAUAGAGAUAGAGUAUUUAUUUAUUGACCAGAUGGUGGUAGAUCCUUGCUACAAUUUUUAAAUAAAAUAGAGAUAGAGUAUUUAUUUAUUGACCAGAUGAUGUUGUGGAUGAUGGUAGUCCUACCAGAUGAUCUUUCUGGUUGUCUUGGACCAAGGGUGGUUUAAUAGGUGAUUAGUUAGUUUUACCUAGGCACUUAAGCAAAACUCACCACCUAGGUGCACCUGCUUAUGCACGCAUUUGAAGAUUACACUAACUUGCCGUGCAUUUGCCCAGCUAAUUUUACAUGUUAUGUAUCAAGUAUAAAUUAAAUGAAUGGUUUGUGCUGGAACAUCUAACCCUUCUCCCAUGAUAUACUUUUAGCAUCAAGAGGAUAUCCAAUAAAACAAUUAAACAAGAGCCAACUAACUUUUCAAACAAUAAUUUACUCAUUUACUGAUUUUAUACCCCAAGUAGUUGAAAGUCUGGAAUCUUUUCACUUGUAGCUUAUUUAGGGAUCUAGAGAAACAUUCAAUAGUUUGUUGUUCCUAUUUUAAAAACCUCACCAAAAUCUUGUGCUGCCAUUUGUCUAGCCAACUCUUGAUUGAUGAGGGGCUCAUCAGGAACCUUGAUCCAGAUAAACCCAGAUCUGUCUUUAGGUAUUUUAAUUAUUGUGGGUCGUAAUUAAUAUUGCGGACCCUCAACUUUUUAGCCCAUUGUUGAUUUUGCAUUACUCAUGUAUUUACAGGAGGAUGUGGAGGGUGUUAAGGAUUGACUAUUUAUGUAUUGUUGUUGAUUCUACAAUAUAUAGUAGAGAUAAAAACACUCUGGUAUCAAAAUCGCCAUGGCAUGUAUGAGCUAGAAAGACCUAGUGUGAAGGGAAUUUUAUUAGGUCUCCUAAUCGAAGGAAGUGAUGCUGAGAAAUGAUAUUUGACAUUCAGCGUGCUGGUUAGUUAAUGAAGCUUACACCAAUUGGAAUGGUUAGCAUUAGAAGCCCGAGUUGGAGUCUCUUGCUCUGAGUUAGGCAGGACCAAGUCUUUUACUUCAAGAUCAUUUUAAUUGUAGAUAUUUCUUAGGGUCAUCAAAUCACGCGAGAAAAAAAUUUAAUAAAUGUAAUUGAAAUGUUGGAUUCUUUGUUUGCUAAAGUUUCAAGCAUAUUUAUAAAGUUCAUAUGUUUGCUCUCUCUAUUCCUUUUUUCCAAACUGGAGCUUUCAUUAUAUAGCUGAAUUAUCGAGAUUACCGCUUAACACGCAUAACAUAACGGGUUUCUAGCAUGGCUCGGCUUCAUUGAGAAAUACAGAGUGACCUGCUCAUUUCAUUGCUUGAUGAUAAAGCACGUACAAUAAUCGUAAAAAUUUUGACUUCAAAUAAAUAUUUGCAUGAAAAAUGUCAAAUUAAUCUUUAUGAAGUAUGAGACAGGAAAAUCUGGAAACCUUGAACAACCAUGGAAGAAAAUAUAAUCUACAAGAAGCCAAAAUCACUUAUGAAUCUAGACAAGUUUACUGUUGACUGAGACACCGUCGCUGACUCUAAUGGUUUUGAAUUUGAAAAUCCAAGAGGAAGAGUUGCUAAGGAGUCGCCCUUCUCCUCGCCUCUGCCUCCAGAUUAGAAUUACUGUGGCCUCCAUAUCGAAAUAUUCCCCGUGUAAUUUGAGCAGGUCGUUUCAACUUUCGAACCAAAUGGGUUUCCCACCUUCAUUGUUUCUCGGCAUUUGGCCCGCCGUUCGCGGAGGUCCUUUUCCCGAACCCUCCCACCAUAUGAUAAACCCUCACCGAGUGAUUUGGUUUUCUUUGUCUUCGCCUCUCUCUCCACCCCGGGACGGAGGCCCGAAGCUAGCCGCCUCUCUCUCUCUCUCUACUACUUUCUUUCCUACGGAUAAGUAUUUUUUUCUUUAAUUUCGUGUUUUAAUCUUGUGGUCGAGAAAUUUUUUUUUUUUACUCUUUUUUGUGUGAACAUUUUGAGAGGACGGCAGUGUUGCAAUGAUGAAAACCAGAUCGGUCGAAAGCGUUUUCCGAAUGUUUGAUGGGAUGCAAUCGUUUUCCUGAGGGAUUGUCUGAGCAACAUCGCCCAGACCCUCCCGCGCCGGGCGCAACCCCUUUUUGGCAUAUUAAAUGGAAAUAAUAAUUUGAAUCCAUUUUCUUUUCAAAAAACAAAAUAAUCUGAAUCCAGAAAAGAAGGGAUUUUGGUUAAUUACGAGGAACUUAUACGUUGGUGAAAAGAUCUUGGAAUCGCAAUUUUUUUGAUAACUACGACAUAUCGAAGGUGACAGAUCAUUGAGAGGUGUAACAUAUCCUCGGUGAACUUGAUUAUAGAGGAAAUAAUUACAACCUAGAGGUUCACAAUUUGUUGUCAAAUUCUUGUGUUGACGUAGGCAGUUAAUUAAUACGUUUUAUUUCUUAUGAACUAGUAAUUUUGGUAAUGUCAAUUUCCUGUUGAUUAAUAUUUGUUUGAAGGCUUAUAUUAAAUGGUACGGCAGAAACCCGUAGUUGUACAAAACUUGUCAAAUAAACCUGUCCCAAAUAACCUGUAGAAAUGUUUAAGCAAAAAAAAAAAAACCUGUAGAAAUGCAACUAUAGCAGGAAAAUCAGAGUUGGGUGUGAAAGCAGUAGAAAUUUAUCAAGUACAGCAGCAUUGUACUUGAUAAGUAGGCCUAGGUACCGCUCGUCCUCGCCGCAACAAACCUAAUGUUGGCUACAUUUUGAAGGACCAUAGCUUUCAAAGAUUUGAUUUAACAUCAUCAUCUAUAACAACUUCACAUGCAUCUAAACAUUUGACUCAAGACUACAGUUAAAACAAGUUUUUAGUCUUUACAGUCCAUGCAACACUACUAUUCCGCUCCCACGCAAUUUGGUCAGGUUAGAUACCAACUUCCAUUAAAAGGCUAACAAAGAUGAGAUGAUUAUAUUGCAGCAGGCUCGAUUUUCUGCAUAUGAAGUCUAUCAUCU